GCGGUCACACUGGGCAGAAAGUGGGGGCCCGCGACAACAACAACCAUCAGCUCUCUAGAAGCUCUCUUGGCUAUCCAAAACAAACGGCAAACAUUUCUCGCGCUAUGCGGACGUCGUUCCGCGUCUCUGGUCUCAACCGUGCGCUGGUUUUUUUUAGUUAUUUUGCAAAUUGUUAACACAUUCGUAAAGUUUUUCGAGCCCCAUAAGAUUCGUGAGUGCACAAAUUGUUGAAUAAACAAUAGGAAUGCCGUUGGAAAAGUGUCGUACCGCCGCGUGUUGAAGAAAAAACAGAAAAAGCAUGCAAAUCUCAUAGCGCUUGCCUUUCUUGUGUUUGUGUGUGUUUGCGUUUUGACUUUGCAGCAGAUGCUGUGGCCGGGCCGCCGCGAAGAAACAAACAAAACGCAAACAAGAAUUCCCGCACAAAUCUCAAAGCAACAGUAAAAUCAAUUGCAACAAAAAGCAAUAACAGAAACAACAAAUGUUUGUGUGUGGCAAUUUUUUGUAUAUUAUUAUAAAGCACCACUCUCUCUCUCUCGCUCUCUUACUCGGUGAAGAGUAUAUUGGAAGUGAGGUGAGUCAGGAAAGAUUUAUUUUAAUUGGGAAUUGAUGGGAGUAUAAAGUGAAAUUAAAAUUUGUAUUCAGGAACAGCUCCCACGGUGCUCUGGUCUGGUCUUUUCGAACUUAAACCAACUUUCAAGAGCUUCACCCUCACUCUAAUAUUCCUUGUCUCUCACCUAUUAUUUCAAAGUGCCGGGCCGCGAACCUUCCUCUCUUCCCAGGGGGAGGAUUGGCAGCAGUAAAGUUUCAGCUUCAGCUUCAUUUAAGCUUCCCCCCUCUCCAUCACUCUCUCUCCUUCUAUCAUUUGCAAAGGCAAUUAAUUGUAUUUUUAUUUAUUAACGUGACAAAUAAGCAAAUAAUAAUGCGUGUGGUGCUUGUGCUUGUGCUUCGGCCUGUGCGUGUGUGUGUCAGACAUGUCUCUACCUGUGUGUGCGUGCGCGUAGGCAAAUGAAUCAAAAUGUUUAGAACGCAAACAAAUGAUUGAAUAACGUAGAAAUAAACGCAACAAGGAGAGCCAGUCACGUUCUCUCUCGUUCUUCCACUCUCUCUCUCUCUCUUCAUCAGAUGAUCAGCUGAGAUCACUUUAUCUCUCCCUCCCUCUCUUUCAAGCAGAGCUUUGAAAUGCCGUAAUCAGCACGCUUCUGACUCCGCGGGGGGACCGCUGUGGGUGGUUGGUUGGGCUGUGUGCCUCUAAUCGAUCGGUCAAAGUGAUCUCAUGGCUAAUCAGUGCUACUAAGCGGAGCAGGCAUAGCGCCUUAUCGCCAUGGAGGCCAAGGCAUUGCCCAUGCAAGGGGGCCGCUUACGCUUACGCUUACUCUUACUAAGGCGAAGGUCAGAGGGAGAUAGUGGAAUGGAGCCAGGGUGUGAUGCUCCCACGAAAAGGCUUUCGCGCUCCCUUUAGCUUGCUCUCUCUCUCUCUCUCACGGGAAGUGUCUUACAGUGGGACUGGAUUCAAGUAAUUUUCUCGAAUUGCAAUAAUCUUAAAAAAAAAAUUCGGAAUAUCCCUUGCAUCCCCAUGCCAUAUAAUUUACAAGCACCAGCUCCAUUCCACCCCUGAGGAGCGUACUUGGGCGCCUCUUUCAGAACACUGCAAGUGGCAAGUGGCACGAAGCGACGGCACGAAGUGUCCGCUUGAGAGAGCUCUCACUGUACAAGUGUAUACACUCCGUAGUACAAGUAUCUUCUCUUUUUUUGUUUUCGGUGUGCCGUAUGCUUGAUGUUCUCCCAUAAUUCUGUCAUUAUCUUGCUGUACAUUUGUUGCCGCCUUGCCGCCUUCAAUUGCCUUACUUCCCUGUACCUAUCACACCACUACCACCCCCGCCAAAAACAACACAUUGUAAAUUAUUUUUGUGGGCCGCACCCACAACAGGCCAAGGCGCCAUUAAAAAAAAAGCACCAAGAAACAGGCGUUUGGGUGGUAAAAGAGGAGCAGGGGGUGGAGCAGCACAGAGAGCGGGAGAAGUGUAUAAAAGUGGGAAAACAUACAUUCAACGCACAUAACAUUAAUUACAAUAACCCACACGUCACCCACUGAGCGGGCUGGCAGGGGAAUAUAUUUUCCACAAACAGCAGACAGAGACAGAGAAUGAGAGAGUGGAAAAGCACUUUCCUUGUGUAAGCCACGCGUUGCCCCCAUUCAAUCCUUUUGUGGCACAACCUUUCACCUGCCGGUCCAGUCCGCCCACUCACCACUCACCUAUCAGGCGCAGCCCCUUCCGUAGAGCUCUCUAUAAAUAAAUCUCAUUAAUAAAUUAAACGUUUUAGCGGCAGGAAAUUCCUUUUCCAUCUCUCUGCUGGCAUUCAACCUCACCUAUUCAGCCACCCGCCGGCAGGGAGCAGCCACCCAUUCCCGUUCUCCCACUUAUUAGAUUUUGGCAUAAUUUCAGUUCCAGACCUCAGACCGAACAACGUCAUCAUCGCUUUAUAAAUAAAUGAAAUUGCUUUUUGAAGAGUACUUACACUUACGUACUACACGUUUUCCCUUAGAUCCCCCCCCAAUAAUAAAUUUAGAUGAUUGUUGCAUCUCGUCCGAUUUUCCCGAAACACGUAAAAUAUUCAUUAGUCUUCAUUUCUCGGGGUUUUCAAUGUUUUCCUUUCAUUAUGAAAGUGCCGCCCCACUCCCAACCGACUGCCGAGCAAAAAGGCUGAUAAAUAGACUCCGAUCAUUGGGGAAUUAUCAUGGAAUUGUGUUUUGUGUGUGCCUCGGACUUAUGUAAAUUUUACAGGCAAGUGGAACGUGGAUUACCCGAGCGAAUGCCCGAGGAAUGUUGGUUUGUGGUUCCCAUUAUGAUAGGAGCCUCCCGUCCCAAAAAUUGCCUGAAAGUUAUUCUCUUAUUAGUUAUUACGCUGAUGUAUUCCCAGUCGGUAGCAGGUCUGUCUGGGGUGUUUAUUGUGGCUUUGGCUUUUGGUUUUCGUGGUCUGAAACUUUUCAUUUAGUUACACUUUUCCCGAGAGCAGGCUCCAUGACCUUUUUAAACAAACAUACACACAGACAGACAGCAACAGAAACAGAAACACUCGAAACACCUGUAAAUCCCACUUCAAAGGUGAAACACACAAACUGUGGGAUGGAAUGGGAUGUACAGUGGGUGUCUGCUGGGUGCGAUGCUCUGCCGUGGGCACCGAAUUCCCACCGGAUGUUAAUGUUUUAUUUGGAUUCCAUCGCGCUGUUUUAAUGCUCGCUGAUUUGUUUGGAAAAAAAUAAACAAUUUGGAAAUUUAUUUAGUUGGGAUCUUGGGGAUUGGAAUGGUUUCGGAAUGGCAUGCCAUGUGAUGCUCCUGUUUUCUUCCACUUUAUGGCCAUAUAAAUAUGCAAUGAAUAUGGCGCCGUGUGCCAUAAUUUGUCAGACUUUAUGGCUGCACGGAAAGGUGUUCCAAAAGAUACCGCAGAUAGUUUGUUGUUCAGUGUUUGGUGACCCCGAUGCUAGAAUUUGGAUGCAGUAAAUUCAGAAAUACAUUUUUGGUUCAUUGGGAAUGUUAGCCACAGGUAUUCCACGGUUUGGUGAUGGAAUUCCGCAGCUACGCGUUUAAUUUAUACCCCAUGGAGUGCGCCACGUGACUCACGCACCCAUCUCCGCAGUCCUAUCCAUUUGCUGGCCUCCCAUUUGCAUAUCUUUUGUGCUGUCCCACGGAGUGACCUUGACGACGCCGGGCCGCAAUCAAUCAAGCAAACAAAAAUAAGAGGAGCACAAAGCACCAGCACCCCGCGAACAUCUCCCGCGCGAUUGCAAUGAAUUUCAGAACGAACUGUAGCCUCACGGAUACGCCGCAGGGGGACAGCUACACGCGCUUCUCUCACCUUGUCAAUCAGUGCCGGGGGUGGGCAAUACAAGAGGAAACAUGAAAUAUGUGGGUCAGUCGGCGAGUCCGAGAUGUGUUCGACCCAUUUCCCCCAUUUUGCCGCGUAUUGAAUGUCAUAAUAUCCGCCACACGGACGCGGGACAUACUCGCACAUAUUUUCCCUUCUGUUUCUCCAAUUUCCAAUUUUUCGGUUGUUUUUCGGUUUUUGGUUUUCGGUUUUAUGAGUGUGUUUUUUUUCUGGUUUGUUUUUCCUGUUUUGUGGCACAUGCGCGCGUUCCCCGUUCGGACAAUUUGCGGCUGUACUCACGUACGGGCAACAGCAACAGCAACAGCGGUGCCUCGGGCAACAAACAGCACAUUAAAAAUAAAAAUCAUAUAUAAAAAUUCUUGGCUGCAUUGGCAGCAAAACUCAAAAUUUAAAUUCAAAUUAAAAAUUCAAAUUGAGGCACAAACAGAGGCACUGAGCAGCAGCAGCAGCAGAAUCAAAAGCAUAAAAUAAACCGAUUUUGGCGUAUUUUAAUUUGAUUUUUGCCCGUUUUUAGAUGCUGAUUAGACGAACGUCAAUCGCAUGCGGAGACACGCCUCUCUAUACGUUGAUUCUCAAUGCGAUUCUCUCGGUUUGCUCCCUCGACGACCCCAUCCCCGUACCGCUGAAGGUUCCAUGUGCGCUCAAACUAUUCAGAAACUAUUAUCAAUCUGUGGGGGGGUUCUCUCUGGAGAGAGAUAAAGAUAGACACGGAGAGCUUGAAGGUAGCAAGCAGUUCAUUCCUCUUCUUUUGUUGCUUGAAAAUUGCUCCCCGCUUGGCACACGCUCGGUCGAGGGGGUGGCGCCGCUUUUCCUCUUAUCAAAACAUGAACAUUUCGCCGCGAACGCUUUUCCCAAACAAAAACAAAAGGCAGAAAGCUUCUCUCAAACACAGAAAGAGAGAGAGAAAGUAGGAAGAGAGAGAGCGAGUGAGUGAUAGGAAACGAGAGAGAGAGAGAGAGAGAGAGCGAGCGCCAUCCACGGAAGUCUGUAACAUGACAAAAAAGCUCUUGUAUAACAUUUUCCGUAUAACAUUAAUGUUUGGGUGAGUGCGGGUUGGGCUUGGAAACACGCGAAUUCUGCGGAAACCCCAGAGGCGGAGCAAGCGAAAGAGGGGCGUGGGAGUUAGGCUAGGGUGUGGAUUUAGGAAUUUAAAUAGUUGAAAUAACUUUAGGGGGGAACUAUUAAUUGGAAUACUUAAAAGAUUGUUUAAUUGAUAAACAGAGAAUUCCUACUUCAUAAAUAGUUUCCAAUUAAAACACACAUUUACAACCAAUGGAAGCUGAAUUUUAAGUUUUAAAUUCCAAAAAUAACCAAAGAAAUAUUCUAAAAACUCAAAAAAUGUAACCAAGUGUUACAAUAUUUAGAUGCGUAAUUUGAUUUGGAAAUGCAGCAAACACAGCUACCUUGCAACAUCUUCAGUUAUCCAAUAGAUUGGCAAAUGUUACCUCAUAAAAUAUAUCAUUAAACAUGCAGUGUGUUCAUAUUGGUAAUACAUAAUAAUAUCCCCACCAUGAUUCAUCAUCAUCCAUGCACGAAUAUCAUAUUUACUUCACCCUCAACCCUGAGUUCCAUUGUCAUUUGGUGCAGCAAAAAAGAUUUCCGCUUUUUUUGUGCGAAGUAAAUGCAUACAGAUUGUGGCCAUAAAAAUGUUUCCUGUCGAAGGAAGCUGUUUGCCUGUUGUUUGGCUUUUAUGUACUUCUUUUUUGCCUGGUUUCCCACGCAGACCAAAAUGUCAAUCCUGUGUGACCCACAGCGAAGAGGGUGCCGUGCCUCACCCUUUUCCUACGCCACUGCCACCGCCUUUUGGGUAUAACAGCUUUUUUUGGGGCAUUUUUCGUUUAUUUACAUUUUGACAUUUUGCAAAGCUCAAGCAACUAACACACUCCCACACACAGAGACAAGUAGAACAGUAGCUCACCUUCCUCACAGAGAGAAUGAGAGAGGGAUAAACAAGGGAGAGAGAGAGAGAGAGAGAGAGAGGGAGCGAGCAGUUCUUCUCAGCUCCCUCACAGUUUUUGCAACUGUUAUACACAGCCAGCCUGCGCUCUCUCUGUGAAUUUUUUUUGCAUUGAAAUUUUCAUUUAGAUUUUCCCCAACAGAGACCGAGACAGAGACCCAACAGAUAUUCGUCGUACGCCGAAGCGUUCGGUCGUGUUCGCGGUUGCUGCCACUGGGACCUUGGACUCCACACCGCUGCUCCACUCCGCCCCCACUGGGUGGUGCUCCAUUCGCUCCACUUAAACCCUCACAGACUCCGCUGAGAACGUGUGUAUAUUCGCGUGUGUGAGUGUGUUUGUGCAAGUGUCAUAACUGUGUGACUAACUAAUCGCUAAAUCAGAAACUAAAACUAAAACUAAAGAACAAAUCCCCACGUGAAACGGGUGAGGAAAGUGCUCCCACAGCAUCCCAGCAGCCCAACAUCCGCCGACGCUUGCGGUUCCCCGUGGCUCGUUCGAGUGCAAAAUCUGUAAUUGAAAUUCUGCCGCUUACGAAAUUUAAAUCUCGAAAUCUCGAACAGCAGACAAGACAAAACUUUGUUCAUCUGAAAGUCAAAAAACUGUUGUGCACAGGUAAAGAAUGAAACUCACACACAGAGAGAAGAGAGAACCUUUUCAAUUUACGGAUUGCUCGAAAAGUGCUUUAGGGGCAGGAGAAUACAGAGGGGAGGGAGACUGGGGGAAUAAUGUGGUGGAGGGGCAGUUGGAACCUCAAAGCGACGGACGUGUCCGUAAAGUGAUUUCCAAUUGGUUUCUCAAAUUAAAUCAAAAUACAAUCUUCAAUUCAAUUUAUUUGUAGAGCAUUUUUGGCUGCUAAUUGAAAAUUGUGCCGAAAAAUUGUUAGCUCUCUGUUGUGCUUGUUGUUGUUUAUGGGCCGAAUACUUGGAGGUUUCUGUUUAAGUUUUACCCCAACCCCCUGAAAAACAGAUUUCCUUUCCAAAAAUCACAAAUCCAUUGAAAAGCUGCGAGAUAUCCAAUCCAUUCGAUCAGAGCGGACAGAGGUUGAGGCGUUAGUCGUUGGGCGGUGGGGCAGAGGCAGUUGUCAUUGCUUGUUGCCGUCGCCGGUUGUACUUGAACUCGAAGCAGCCGAAGCAGCCGCAGCAGCAGCAAGCGCGUGGCAUGCCGUGGCAUGUGGCGUGGCGCGGUGCUGUGUUGCGCGACGAGCGGCACAGCAGCACGGCGCGUAUCUGUAAAUCUUUGAGAUAUUCUAGCUUUGGCACUGAGAAUCCAGAGACACGAAACAGAUAACGCUUGAAUGGUGAUCCGAAAUGAAUCACAACAGCAAGACAGAGAGAACGAGAGAGGGAGGCUGUGUGAAUCAAUGAAUAAAUAAAUGAAAAUGAAUGGGUUGCUGAAUGGAUUAACACCGGUAAAGGGUGUACCACUGAUCCUUGGGAAUACAUUUGGAAUUUAGAGAAGAAUUGCGAGUGAUUGGGUGCUAGAGUUCCAAGAAAAAGAAGUUCCAGAAAUGUGAUGAUGUAUUAGCUGUUUAAUUGUGGGAGAAAACUCUCACAGACUUUACGCUUUUUGAGUGGAUUACAUGAUGUAGAGUCAUUAGCGUGACAAUUAGUUUUAUUUAUUUUAACGAGAGAAUGAAACUCAUUUACAUUUUUAAAAUUAUCUUUUAAUACUAUACAAAUGGUAUACAAAAAGAUAAUGGCAUAAAAAGAGAGUCGCAGACUGUAGCUCUAUGACUUCCGCAUCUUUUUAUCAGAGUUUAGCUGAUGUUUUGUUGGAAAAACUCAACUAACAUGAUUUAUAAUGUCUUCUAGCUAUGAAAAAUAUUACUCACAGGUUGUAGAGGGGAUUCCACACCAAUUUAUACAACUAAUAUAAUAUAAUAAUAUAAUAUAAUGUGUGUAAAAAAACAUGCACAAAAUAUGUCUCGAAUCUUUUAAAAAAAUUAUUAUGCCAAUACAAUUUCUGGAAAGACUUGCUGAUCAUGAAUCUCAUGAAUCUCAUGGGAAGAAAAAUCCAUAAAUUGUAUGUUUUAGGCAAGAAUGUGAACAGUAAAAAAUUAACCAUUGCAAAUUAUUUCAAAUUUUAACAUAUUCAAUGCAAAGAAAUAUUUAUGUCUCUUGGGAAGGCACCUCCCAUAACCGACAAUUCUUUAAAAUAGCCAGACAACUCCCAUAAGGCGGAAACGUCCCCAGUGGCGGACAUUGCCCUGAGCUCAGUAAAAUGUCUUAAAAGUGCAGCUGUCCUCAGCAUAAAUGAUUCGUUAUAGGAAAAUCCUUUAUGGAUUUUAUUGUGAAUGUUCUGCUUAAAUCAAACAUUUCUGAACAUCAAAUUAGAACUCCUUGAGUGACGAAAGGCUUCGUGAAACAAUUGCGAAAAUUUGUAGUAAGCUGUAAAAUGUCUUGGAAGUUUAGCUGUACCCAGAAGAGACUUUUCCUUAUAGGAAAAUCCUUCAUAAAUUAUAUUGUAGAUGCUUAGUGAAAAUGAAACAUUGUUGAACAUCAAAAGCACUGCUCAAAAAUGUCUAUAAAAUUCCUGUUGUAUUCCAUUCUAGCGAAUAAAAUAUGUAGGCUGAUGGGAGAGAUAACGAUUUAAAAAAAAAACCACCAGCUUCUAAAACGAAUCAUACAUUUAUUUGAUUACGCUUCUCCCAUUAAUGUGCCUUCAAACUACAGAAAAACAUGUGUGUUCUCCAACUAAAGUUUAGUCCAGCUAAAUUUGUAUAUUUUUGCAUCGUAAAUUCUUGAAAAUGUCGUAUAAUUUGUUUAGAAACUUUUGCUAAACAAAAAUCAACUUAAAUAGUAGCAAGAAAAAAAUUAAUUAAAGCCUUAAAUUCAUUCAUGCUCUACCCUGGCCAAUUUGUGUAGUUUCAGGAACAUAUGGAGGGAAAUCCAAAGACUUGAUAUAAAUAGAAAAUUGUAUCGCGUAUAUCGUUUAUCAUUACAACACCUACAAUGUUCUGCCUUUCCCAAUUAGUUGAAAACUUUGCCACUGUCUUCGUUUUGCCUUCAGCAGCAGCCAGUGGCAGCAACAUCAUCCUUUUGUGUCCUUAGGUCCUAUUUCAGGUUUCCCCUUGAGGCAUUUAUCAUUAGUUUGAAGCAUCAGCUGCACCACUGAUAUGCAAUUAUCCCACUUGACUGUGGCAUCCACAAACCACCACUGCCCCACAGACUCGCCCAAUCCCCUACCCGUCCAACCCGCUUUUCUCUCCUUUCCACUGAGUGGCAUUCAAAGGCCGCUGCUAGUUUCAAUCAUUCAAACACAAUUAAGGCAUUAAAGGACGCGAUGUUGGCUCCGUGGGACAAUUAGCGUCUCUCACUCUCUGUGUUUGCCUCUGUGUGGGUGUGCUGCUCUGUGUGGCUGUGUGUGUUUGGCUCAUUAUGCUGACAUUCUGCUCUCUACACUCUUUGAUCCCCCCUCUCUCACUCUCUCUCUCUGUUCCGCUUCAACCCAUUUACCAGCACUUGGGCGCUGCUCAUUAAUUAUUUACCAGCCGCCAACGCGCCAGCGCUCAUCGCGCGCUCGUGGACUACAGAAUGCUGAAUGUUGCGUAUACGCAGCGUAGACCAGCCUGAAAAUGAAACAACUAUCGUGUGCACAGAGCGAAAUAAAAACCAUAUAAGCCAUCUACCAUGAGGUAGAUUUUUGGUGAACUUGUAAAGUUUUCCCCAUAACAGUUUUUUCCGGUAAUCGUUGGCUGAAGUUCUAAGAAUUCAUAGAAAAAAUCUGUGUAAACCUGAGAUUUCUUGGCUAAUUGCUUCAGGCAAAAAAAACUUCAUUUAUUUUUGGAAUAAUAAGUACACAUAGCCAAAGGCAAUGAAUGAGGUCAAAAGGUAAUUAAAAUGAGCAUCAUUUUUCACAGAUAUUUCUCAGUAAAAAUAUAUUUUAAUUAAAGUAAGAACUGCGAAAAAUAUUAGUUAAAUUCGGCAGCUACUGCCAGCUUUCUGCCACAAAUUCCUCUAUCAAUUCUCACCGUGUAGUUCCUGUAUUUGUUCUACGCCAACGCAGCGAACGAUCUAUCAUUAUAAUGAAGCGUCAAAUCUAAUACAUCGGACUCUCCGACUUUUGCCUUCAUUUCCAUGUGAAGUGUAAGGGUAGAGGAAUGGGGAAUGGGGAAGUGGGACAUACAUAUAUCUCUCUCGCUCUCCGACUCUCAGUGGCUGCUACACUGCCCACUGUGGUUGUUGCUGCCGCCUCCUGAUAACGUUGACAAACCAGAUAAAAGAACGCGAUAAAAAUGAAAAAGAACAUGCAGGAAAAAAAACAAGAGCAAAAAUGUUAUAAAUAAAACAAAAGACGAAAGGAGGAGUGAAGCGAAGUGGAGUGCCUGCUCAGUGUCGCUCUGUUUCGCUACGAAAGAAUUAUGUAUGAGUAUUGUAUGGCAUGGGGAAAGGGAAGCUGCAAAGGAAGGAAGUCGUGGGAGAGAGUGAAAGGAGGCUGCAAUUCUAUGAAUAUGAAUGAGACGUCUCGCUGCAAAAGUGAUUGCUGUUGUUUUGGCUGCCUGUUGUCACUUUUACUGUUAAUGAGCGAUAAACUUCAUGAAAUUGCCAUUUACGCGGUUUAUGGUAGAGAACAAAAUCAUGAUAUGGCGGCAAUUGCGAUACAUACUCGUAGAUUGUAAUUUAGUACGUACUUAGAUUACGAUUGAGUCCGUAUCAGGAUUGGAGCUUCAGCCAUUAAACUGUUUCGGGACUUCGACUUGAUUUGGAAUUUGCAUAUAAAUAAAUGAUUCUUCCUUUCGUUUUUUAUUGAAAUCGGAUAUAGAAUGCGAUUGGGCAUACAAUUAAAGUUCAUGCAGAGUUUGGUUUGCAUGUACAUUUCCAGUCAAUCUUUAUUUAAAUUCAAACAGUACUUAAUGAUAACUAGAUUCCUCUUAAGAUCUGUUUCUGCUUCGUUAUAAUCAUGUCUAGAUUACCCUCAGUCUCUUCAGCUAAAUUGCACUCCCAAGCUUCUACAAUAAUGCCAGUGAUAUUCCCAUUCAAAAUUCCACUCAAAUCCAUUUUCCAUGCCCAAACUAUUCAAACAAUCAAUGCCAGCUCCGAUGUGUCUAAUGCCGUAUCAUAUUUCCAUAAUUAAUGUUUACGCAUCUGUGUGUGCCACAGCUUGUGUGUGUGUGUGUGUGUUUGUGUUUUGCGGUGACACUGAAACGCGGUUUUAAUUAACAAUUAAAAUUUUCUGUCACAAUUUCAUAUAAUUUUGCGGUGGUUGUAUGCAAAGGAAUGAACCCCCCCCCCCCCCCGUAACCACACCUUUAAAGCAUAAUCUAGCUUCUAUAUUCUGCUAUCCUGCUCGAUUAUGCACGACCACAUUCCGUGGCAUUUACCAGCGUGGCAAGCGUGUCAAAAUUUUCGACAGAUCGACCUUUGCCACAACCGAAGGACGAGCGAUAAAAAGGGACUGUGGGGCACGCAGGUACAUGCAUGGCUGCAUGUGGCAGAGAUACCAACCACCGUGUGACAGAGUGUCUGCAUAAUCAAAGUGCUAUGCAAAUAAAUUAACAUCGAAAUGCAUACAUCGUAAUCGGUAAUCGUAACUCAAGCAAUUAAUGCUCCCCCCCCUGCAUCCGUGUUUAUUUGUUUAUUUUCGCAGAUAUCCGACGAAGGUAAUUGCACCUGUAAUCGUUGAGCGGUGGUGAGUGCGGGUGGCGGCAGGUGGGGUGGUUGCUGCCCCGUUGCGUGGUGCAGGUGGUUCGGUGGGUGGUGCGUGCUGAAGUGUUUGGCAACGAAGAGGGGACUAAAAAGGCUACGCAAGAGUAAGCCGUGGUAAUCCCUAGCGUCACAAAAAUAAACUUAAGGCAAAGGCAUAUUAGCUGUAAGGUACUAGAGGUGCAAAGGAUAGGAGCUCAAUUGGGUGGCAAAAAGAGCUGCAAAAAGUGCAGCAAAAACAAUGGGGCUUGGGCUCAAUCAGAGUCAAGGAAAGUGCUUUAAACCUUUGAAAUAUUAUGACAGAAAGCGCUUUCACAGUGGGGCGUUUUUAGGUUUAGUUAGCACUUGGUAGCACUUCUACAAUAUCUAUUGAAGUAUGAGAAUAAUGCUCGUUUCCGUUGGUAUCGAAGAUACUGAAACAUUUUCCAGAAUUAAGAAAGGAAUCAGCUUGUUCAUAGCUCUUGCUGUUAGAUCUAGUCUACAUAUUUAUAUCUCUUUUUACUGCACAACUUUUACCUGCAUUGCAAUCAAACAUUGCCCUAAAUCACAUUCAAAUAUAUUCUCAUUUGCCUGCAAAUACGCUCUAAUGGUGCUCGCUCCCCCAUUUCCUUUCAAGACCCCUAAAUGCAGGCUAAAGCAGGUUCCCCCAUGCCGAAGGAGUUGGGUAGUGUAGGGCUGACACUGUCUGCCUUGGUUCCUCUUCUCUUUGGGGGGGCUACCCAAGUUAUCCGCAACCCUUCACAAGUUUCCGCCGCAAGGUUCAUUUUACCCUUCAGCGGAGGCCAAUCAAACAUUGAACUCAUCGCCUCAUCGACAGAGCGCUGGUGCCGUUGCCUAUAAAUAGAACAUUUUAGAGACAAACAACUGACACGAGCCGGCAGCAGAUAGGGGAUGGCAGCAGGGGUAAAGGAGGGGAGUGCACGAGCCCCUAGCACUAGCAGCAGGAAAAGUGGAGUAGAAGAAUGAGGAAGGACUGCUGCUCCUCUGCCGUUCGCGUGCCAUUGAAAAACAAUUGUUUUGUCAAUAUUUUCACAAUUUUCGCUAUCGGCGGGGUUUGAUCUGCAAAAGUGUUGGUUUGCAGGGGGUGUUGUUGCAGGGGGUGCAACAAAAAAAUGAAGCGAAUGACGAAAUUUGCGAAUUACAGGAAAAUAGCACUCCUCGCUCGGUCCACGCCAAAAAGCAAACCCAAAAAACAUCCAACAAAAGUGUAACAAAAAGUUUUCCAAUUGAAGGCGCCUCCAGAAGCACACCCACAAAAGGGGCAUGGUAGGGUGUAGGGUGUGAGACAGGGCUUGACGUUGAUGGAGGUCUGCCACUGCCCCUCUACCCCUCACCAUCACCGAGAAAAACACAGCAACAAUGGGAGAGGGAGAACUCGAAAAUUGUGUGGCCCCAGCGGCUGUUGUUUUGGGGUGUCAUUGAACUUAAUUUUGUUUUUCUUUUACUUAACCGCACCCCUCCACACUCAGCCCCUACCCCUACCCCUACCCACACCACCCACUGAAAAUUGUGCCCAACGUUUUAUAUUUUUUAUUUUUUAUUUAUUUGUGUGCUUUGCUGUGCCACCGAUACUGAGCAGCCCAAGGGCCGUCCAGCAAGUUGUUGACUUGCACCAGCCCUACCCCUCGCUCUCUGUUCCUCUGCCAAAAGGAACAGCCUACACCCCCCCUUUAUCCACUCUCCGGAUGAUGAAUUUUUAUGGAAAGCAAAGGCGAAGAAAAAUCUAAGGAGAUGUUGUAGGCAAACAAAGCAACAAAAGAAAACAUGCAAAAAGCACAAAAAAAAAAGGCAAACAAAAUAAAAGAAAAACUUUGGGCCCCGAAAUGCUGUGCACUGAUUGCCACAGGAAAACAUUUUUCCGGAACCACGAGGCAGAAACGAAUUCAUUUUUGAUUCCGAAUUAGUUUUUGUGUUUUUUUCAUGCAGAAAUAUUCGAAGGCAAACAAAUCAAAUGCAGUUCAAUUUUAAUAAUCUUAGAAGGGAAAAUGUGGCUGUAGCGGCUGUGGGUAAAGGUGGCAAAUCCUCUAAGAAAAGGUACAUGGAAACCUUCCCGAAAAGGCCGAGCUGUGCAGCACUCCCGUAACCUUUGGCAACGGCCUGUGCUAAUAUUUGAUGUUCAGAUUUUUUGGGGUUGUUCCUGAGGCUGUAUUGGGGCUUCUCUGUUGGUCUUUCGCUGCUGUUAUAGGCUCUCAUUAUGCACGAUAAUUUAAACAGCGACGGGAAAAUACUAAGAGCGUUCUCAUGCAACUAAAUUCACUGGAAUAUUUAGUUGAUUUUUUGCUGCAGAGAAUCCUUAACAUUUAUUUACUGUUUGCCAGAAUCGUUUACAAAUGAACUUGCACACCAUGUGCAUUCUUCUAUAGUUAAUAAUAAUAAUAAUAAUAUAGUUAAUUUAAUAAUUUUGCUAAACAUUCACUUCACAAUUGGCAGCUGAUAAGCUUUUGCUGAUAAUUUUGCAUUUUGCCCUCACAAAAGAUUACAAGAAAAGGUAAACUACAAAAAAUAUUUGUUUCGGAAAAAAAAACACAAACAAAAAUUCAAUGUUUUUAUCGUGUGCGCAAAAAAAAAACCCUAUUUUUUUCGAUGUGCAAAAUAAUUCGAUUGCAUCAGGGACGUCGUGCCAUUUCCGCGAAUUUUUGGAUCGAUAAAUUCAAUUUCAACAAAUUUCGUGUGUGAUGUGUGAAGUGAAUGUGACACGAUGCCGUCGGUAAAAAAAACCCUUUCUGCUGCAGAAGCAAGUUCUGCAGUGCAAAUUAUUGCAAUAUAUUGGUAAAGCAUUCCAUGUGCUUACAGCUUCCUCUUAGUAUUUUUGUGCUCUUUUUUUCUUGUCAAAAAAGCGACGCUGCAAAACGCUUUGUGGUCGACAGUGGCAUCCUUAAAGUUUGAGGCCAGAGUUUUUGGGUGUUUUCUUUGCUGUUUUCUCUUCUCUCAGGUUAAGGACAAAAACGCAAGGCACUUCCUGUCAAACAGCAGAGUAGGGAGACACGGUAUGUGGGUGGCCUUUUCAAUUUUUAAUAGCUUCUGUGUGUUGGGUGGGGUGGGUUGGGGUGGGGAGAAGAAAAAAGCAUUUUGCACAUACAGCAGAAAAUAUAAUUUGCCUCUGCCACUGCCUAAAAGCACUAACAAUCAAACACUCAACCAGAAGCCAGCAACCAGCAGCCAGCAACAAAAACAAUUACAACAAUGGGCAUUUUAGCAACAAAAUACAACAUGAAACAUUUACAACAAUGGGAAUACAACAACAACAACAGCAACAAAAUGACAAGCUAAAGCAAUUAGUUUAAUGUGAUUCCAUCUUUCUGCCUCCUCAGAGAGCGAGAGUGGGAGUGAGAGUGAGAGUGAGAGAGAGAGAUGAAGCCUGAGAAAGUUUUAUGUGCCACAAAUGAAAUUAUAGUCACAGUACAGUCACUCGCAUACACAUAAGGCUGCCUUGGCAACCAGAAGCCAGAGGGGCUCUCUCGCAGCUGCAAUUUAAGCGCGUGGAGUGGAGUCUGCCCCUCCUUCAGGCCUCCUAAAAGCAUGCUACACACAGAGUGAGAGAGAGAUUUUUGCCGCCUCUUUGGCUUUCUGUCGCUGUCUGUCUGUCUGUCUGCCACCUGACACCGCCUUAUCUUUGGGGUCUCACCUGCUUCACUUUUAAACAUUUUAACUUUCCCCCCACCAGCCCACGGCAACGACUUUGUGGCAGGCAGUCAGGCUGUGGGGCAGCCAGCGAGCGAGCGAGCGAGCGAGCGAUGCUGUCAUGCACAUUAACCAAAUAGCUGGCGCCUUGAUUUGAUUAUCAUGUUUGUGUAGAUGUGUGUGUGUGUGUAUCGUAGUGUGUGUGUGUGUGUGUGUGGCAAGAUUGCCAUUUGACAAGCCACUUCCGCACUUGCCCCUGAAGAAAGUUCUAGCCAAAGUAGAAGCCUGCCAAGAAAGCUUUGUCAUUGCUGUGGAAUGGCAUGGAAUGCCACAAUUCAUUUUGACUAGAAAGUUGUUGGCCUCCCAGCAGCUAAAUGGACACUUAAGAGAUGCAGGUGGCCGCAAGGAGGGGUGGAGGCGGGAGACACUUCCUGGAGAGUUGCUGGAGAAUGUGUGUCCCUGUGUUUUCUAUGAUUUAGUUGUUACACAAAUACUUCGAAAUAUAAAUAAUAAAUAGGCAUGGAAUGGCCAAACGUUGUACAUCAAAAAAAUCAACCAAGCGGGGAUUUAAUCUGAGUAAAGAAACUUAUUUCAAAGAUUAAUUUCCACCAAAAAAAGGAGCCCAAAGCGCGUUGAUUGUGGGAACCCCUAACUGAAGUAUCCAGAGGGACUGACUGAAAGAUAAAAAUACAAAUAUUUACGAGUUCUUUAAUCGAUUUUCUAAUUAUUAUAAGAAUUAUCAGCCAAGAGUUUUCCAUGGACACACAGCUUCCACGUGGUAACCUUUUUGAUUACCUUUUUGCCGCUGAUGAAGUUUCCAACUGCCGGAUAGGCAUCUCGCCAUCAAUUGCCAUCGCUGGCUGCUGUCACUAUGGAUGGUCGUAUAUCAAGGGUUAACCUUUGAGUUCGCUGGCAGGGAAAACAUAUUUUGACGGGCGCCUUGAUUUAUGCCCCAUACCCAGGUCCCGUGCCCCCCCUCGAAAAUGUAGGGCAAGAGGCAGGGCACUUUUUGUAAUGUUUUUUUUGCUGCUUUUGUCGCAUGCAUGAUUCAUGGAGAGAGAGUCUCCAGGACCAAGGGAAAAGUCACUUGAAAAUCUGUUUGCUGUUGUUGUUGUUGCUGUGAUUUCCGUUGCGUAACUCCAGAGCCCAUCCCCAUUUCCCUUUCCCUUUCCCUUGUGGGGCUAACAUCUGCAAAUUGCCUGCAAUAAAUUUGUUCCCUGUUUUGCCAUAAAACACUUAAAACGAUUUGCAAAAUAAAAAGCAGAAAGAAAAGCGUCAGAAAAGCAGACAACACACAGCCAAUGGAAAUCAGGAAAAUCGAAGCCAAUUUUCAGUCGGUCGGAAGGGAGGGGGCCGGGGAGGCAGCGCCAUAAUGCGAUAACAAUUUUGCGAUAUUGAAUCGAGAUCCGUUUUCCACAGAGCAACAAACAAACAGACAGAAAUGAAAUUGCUUAAUUACUUCCCCUUUUGGCUGUGGGAAAUUUAUGAUUGUACAAAACUCAAUUUGGAAAUGUGAAAAAUGGAAAACGCCAAAGCAGAAAAGCAGAAAAGCAAACAGAGGCAGCGUACAUGAGCGUUUAGGUCGCAGCUGUUGAUGCUCUUGAAAAAUUAAGAUUAGGAUUUUAUGGGUAGAUUUUUCGUGCAUUUUUCAUGCGAUUUAUCCUGCGAGCUUGAAGCAAAUUUAGUGGAUAAAGAAAUAUAAAUGAUUGUUUUGUUUAUUCCUGUUUCAAAUAUGUUGGAAUGCAACAUAAAAAGCUCCAAUACUAAGGCUGACAUUUGUAUCUCUGCAAAUUAUUAACAAUUUAAUUUUCUUAUUUUUUAUUCAUGAGAGUUUCAAAAGAAAUUAAUGGAAAAACGUCUUGAAUUUUAUUUUAUUGAUUUCUCUUGGGAAUUAAUCAUGUUUUCUCGUAUAAAGAAUUGUUGAAAGUCUUGAUAAAGUGCUGCAAUAUUAAUGGCUGCACUUUUUAAGAGCAUAAAUUGUGAUAUUUUCAUAGCUUCCACUUAUGGCAAUUUUAUGCGCCGCUGCUACCUUUAGUGCUCCCAAAAACAUCGUCGAAAAACUGCAAGCACCACUUUAAGUACUACUACAAAAUGGGCAAAUAGAAAAUAGCCAAGAGAAAAUAGCAAACAACAAAUAGAAAAUGCCAUGGAAAAUGGCUAAAUAAAUUUUCGUAAACUCAAUUCUGUUUACCAAAAAAGCAACAGCACAAACAAAUGACUUCCUUUCGGGCGGGUAAAACUUUUUGCAUUCAUGCGAGUGUGCGUGUGUGUGCGUGUGUGGGUGGGGUAGCUCUGUGGCAUGCCUCUUGCCUUGGCUGACUAAAACUUUUGUCUUACAUUUUCCCAUUGUGUGGCCGCCCGGGCCUGGCUGGCUGUGUUUUUGGUUUUGGCCUUCAGGAGUUUCACCGAAUUGGUUAUGACAUGGCCAAAAAGAAAUUAUCAAAGAAUUAGUGCUGCUGUCACGUGUCCCUCUGCACCUCUCUCCCCCUACCACUAUUUGCAUCUAAGCAUCUGUGUUUCUACAUAUGCAUAUCCGAGCGCUUCGUUUGAGUGGCUGAAGCUGUCAUCUUAGUGGUCCUAAGUGGAUUACAACUUGUACGACUGGCUGCAGGAACCACUCGUAGUGCCACAGACAGAGCGGUGGGAAAGCCACUCGAGCGAGUGUGACUGCUGCCAUAAAGGUGGCUACACUGAGGGAAAGAAAGGUAUUGGGAGUGCAGAAGGGUGGAUGUUUAGAUGAGUUUUGGAAUGUAAUUUAGUUGGAAUUUAUUGCUGAUAUGAUAGAAACCUUAAACCUGUCGCUUCUUUAUUAAUCAAUUCAAUCUAAGAUUAAUUUUUCUAAAUCAAAGUAGAUCCACAAAGAUACUUCAAUCGAUAAGAAACAUUUCUGAACAAAAUUCUACUACAAAAAUAAUUUUCAAUAUAUUUCAAUUACCUUUCAUUGCACACAAUUCUCUGCAGUAUUCCAGCUGUAAAAAUGUUUAAAACUCUAUCAACAUUUUGAGGAUUGAUGGUUCAUAUCUGUAUGCAUAAAACAACUAUAAAGGAAACCGUAUAUUCAGCACUCAAAAACAUAUUUCAUUCGGCAAAGAUCUUUGCAGUCUUCUUCCCCAUUUAACUCACCAUUUCCCGCUCAAAUUUGUGUGGCUUUAUGCCUAAUUUUAGCACAAAGACGAGUACUCUUAGUCGUAUUCGUAUUGUUCUCCCUGCACCGGAUGUCGUGUCUAUUUAAAGGCCUUUUUGGUCUUUGGCUUCGGGUCGAAAGUUCGCUGGCAGCUAAUUGAAAAUUGAAAAAAAUACACGAGCGGCAAAUUAGCGUAGAGGAAAGCAAAGAGUUUUGGGUUGGACCUUCCCCGAGAUACAAAAAAAAAGAAAAAACUACAAGGGGAAACCAAAGCAACACAAUGGCCAGCCCAAAAAUAGGCAAACAAAAGCAGACAGCGGAGAGGGGGUUUGGGGUUGAGGAUGAGGAUGAAACCCUGAAUGAAGAGAGACGACUCCGACUGGACUGGACUCGAUGAAUGAAUGAAUGAAUGUUUGAAUGAAUGGAACGGUCGAAUGAAUGGGAAGCCUGACCUUUUGGGCAAAGGUUCGUAAUCGGUCAGCGGCAGACAGACAAUGGCUGAGGCAAUACUUUGUGGAGAGAGCUGGUUGAGGGGAAAACGCUAAUCAACUUGGGAGGAACUUUAGUUCUGGCUCAUUUGCAAAGGUAUAACGAGGACACAGCGAGAGAGGAAUGAACCUUUCAGGGGUUUCAAUCCCAUUCAAUCGAUGGCUUAGAAUGCAACCAACUUUUCCAACAUGCAGCUAAAGCUUUCCCCUUUUUUCUCUCUAUUUUUGCAGGAGCAACACGUCACUGGAAUUUUAAUCAAGGACCGCAGAAAUGCAGUCAGAAGCAAGUCAGGCGCGUGGCACAGAUACAACGCGGCACUAAUUGAGGCACAGCACGGUCAGCGCGACCACGUCCACGUCCAGGGCGAGGACUAGGACCAGAAUCAUGGCUUCAUUUGUAUGCAGACCAGGAGCAUUCAGAGCAACAAGAGCAACGGAAGUGCAGAGCAGCGGCUAAGCGGAAGCCAACAGCCGCAGCACAGGAAACAACAGAGGGAAAACACAAAACGCACACAGAAAACAGCAGCAGCAGCAGCAGCAGCAUAAAAUUACAGGAAGAGGAUUUGGAUUUGGAUUUGGAUUGGGAUCUCUGAUUCGGUUGCAGGAUGAUGAGCGCCGGGGGUACGUACAUCUCCACCGCCAGCGUGGAGGUGCCACAGGCGCUGCAGGAUGGCGAAAAAUUCAUACGAUGGGAUGAUG
rnacentral:lncRNA from 1 species